CGAACGCUGGCGGCGUGCUUAACACAUGCAAGUCGAACGAGAAAGAGUUCUUCGGAACUCGAGUAAAGUGGCGCACGGGUGAGUAACGCGUAGAUAACCUAUCCUUAUGUCUGGGAUAACCCACCGAAAGGUGGACUAAUACCGGAUAUGCUUAUCUUUCAUAAGUUGUAUAAGUAAAGGUGGCCUCUGAUUUAAGCUACUGCAUGAGGAGGGGUCUGCGUACCAUUAGCUUGUUGGUGGGGUAAGAGCCUACCAAGGCAACGAUGGUUAGCGGGUCUGAGAGGAUGAUCCGUCACACUGGCACUGGAACACGGGCCAGACUCCUACGGGAGGCAGCAGUGAGGAAUAUUGCGCAAUGGGGGAAACCCUGACGCAGCGACGCCGCGUGAGUGAGGAAGGCUUUCGGGUCGUAAAACUCUGUCAAAAGGGAAGAAAUGCAUAUAGGUUAAUACCCUUUAUGUUUGACGGUACCUUUAAAGGAAGCACCGGCUAACUCC
rnacentral:rRNA from 1 species